CAUCCAGACUCACCACUUCUGAUGCUAUUCUGAUGCUUUCCAUUGGUUCUCCUGUUUGAGUUUGCACCACCAC